rnacentral:misc_RNA from 1 species
GGAGAUCACUCUCGUUCUCUAGUUAUCGACUUGUGUCCGGUAUGGCGGUGUCCUAUGUAGACAAACCAAAGCUUAUUGUAUUUGACUUAGAUUAUACUUUGUGGCCUUUCUGGGUUGACACACAUGUUUCGCCACCUUUUGAAUUAAGGAAGGAUAAAGUAUAUGAUUCCCUUGGAGACCACGUGAAACAUUACCCUGAAGUUCCAGAGGUGUUGCAGUCCCUUCAAAAUGAAGGUUAUAAGCUUGGUGUUGCUUCCAGAACAUGUGCAAUUAAAAGUGCAAAGCAGUUGAUGGAUUUAUUUAACUGGAGUAAAUAUUUUGAAUUUUCUGAGAUUUAUCCAGGAGAAAAAACAAUUCAUUUUUCCCAGUUUCAGAAACACAGCAACAUCCCAUAUGAAGAUAUGUUAUUCUUUGAUGAUGAAGGGAGGAAUGUAACAGCUGUUGGUAACAUAGUGCCAAAUAAUUCCUCUCAACACAUCACUAUGAUGCCCUCCUCUUCUCCUGCUCAUGAUAGCCACUAAAGGACAUGCUCAAGUGGUUAAGGUCAAGCAAAUCUGUGGUAUUAAGCAGAACGUUUGUUAUGACAAUAUUUCUGUAACUCAGCACUGAAUCUAUCUGAAAUGUAAUGGCAAGUGUAACAGCAAUUCAUGUACACAAGGGCACUGGAGUUACUAAAGAAGUGAUGAAAGAAGGACUAAAAAAAUUUGCUGAAAACAAG